rnacentral:tRNA from 1 species
GGUAAGGUAAGCUAAUUAAGCUUCUGAACUCAUGAUCCAUAUAUGUCGGUUAAAAUCCUACCCUUACCA